rnacentral:rRNA from 1 species
ACGUGAUCUGAGUUCAGACCGGAGUAAUCCAGGUCAGUUUCUAUCUAUAAAAGAGUUUUUUCUAGUACGAAAGGACCGAAAAAACAUGGCCCAUACUUAAUGCAAGCCAUAAUUACUAACUUAUGACCAAAUCUUAAUAAGUACUUAAUCCCCCACUUAACUCAAAAAAAGAGUA